rnacentral:ncRNA from 2 species
CGCGGCCAAGGCGAUGGAUUUCCGCCGGGCAUUUUGCCGAACCGCCUGCCGCGCCAAACGGCGCCAGGGCUGAUGAUUCCUACCUGAAA